CGUAGGGUGCGAGCGUUGUCCGGAAUUAUUGGGCGUAAAGGGCUCGUAGGCGGUUUGUCGCGUCGGGAGUGAAAACCUCGGGCUUAACUCGGGGCUUGCUUUCGAUACGGGCAGACUGGAGGUAUGCAGGGGAGAACGGAAUUCCUGGUGUAGCGGUGAAAUGCGCAGAUAUCAGGAGGAACACCGGUGGCGAAGGCGGUUCCCUGGGCAUGACCUGACGCUGAGGAGCGAAAGUGUGGGGAGCGAACAGGAUUAGAUACCCUGGUAGUCCACACCGUAAACGUUGGGCGCUAGGUGUGGGAUCCAUUCCACGGGUUCCGUGCCGCAGCUAACGCAUUAAGCGCCCCGCCUGGGGAGUACGGCCGCAAGGCUA
rnacentral:rRNA from 1 species